rnacentral:rRNA from 1 species
GGCCUUGACAUACUAAGAACUUUCCAGAGAUGGAUUGGUGCCUUCGGGAACUUAGAUACAGGUGCUGCAUGGCUGUCGUCAGCUCGUGUCGUGAGAUGUUGGGUUAAGUCCCGNAACGAGCGCAACCCUUUUCCUUAUUUGCCAGCGGGUCAUGCCGGGAACUUUAAGGAUACUGCCAGUGACAAACUGGAGGAAGGCGGGGACGACGUCAAGUCAUCAUGGCCCUUACGGCCAGGGCUACACACGUGCUACAAUGGUCGGUACAAAGGGUUGCUACCUCGCGAGAGGAUGCUAAUCUCAAAAAGCCGAUCGUAGUCCGGAUCGCAGUCUGCAACUCGACUGCGUGAAGCCGGAAUCGCUAGUAAUCGCGGAUCAGAAUGCCGCGGUGAAUACGUUCCCGGGCCUUGUACACACCGCCCGUCACACCAUGGGAGUUUGUUGCACCAGAAGUAGGUAGUCUAACCGCAAGGAGGACGCUUACCACGGUGUGGCCGAUGACUGGGGUGAAGUCGUAACAAGGUAGGCGUAGAUGA